AGAGUUGAUCAUGGCUCAGAACGAACGCUGGUGGCGUGUCUUAUACAUGCAAGUCGAGCGGUGCAGCAAUGCAUAGCGGCGAACGGGUGAGUAACGCGUAAGCAAUCUGCCCCCUGUUCGGGAAUAGCCGUGCCAACGCGCGGGUAAUACCGGAUAUUGUGGCCCUGGACAUCCGGGGUUGACAAAAGAUUUAUCGACAGGGGAUGAGCUUGCGUCCGAUUAGCUAGUUGGCGGGGCAACGGCCCACCAAGGCGACGAUCGGUAGCCGGCCUGAGAGGGUGAUCGGCCACAUUGGGACUGAGAUACGGCCCAGACUCCUACGGGAGGCAGCAGUAGGGAAUAUUGCACAAUGGGGGAAACCCUGAUGCAGCAACGCCACGUGUGGGAAGAAGCAUUUCGGUGUGUAAACCACUGUCGUGAGGGAAUAAGGCUGAGUUUCGGCUCAGUUGAAUGUACCUCGAGAGGAAGCACCGGCAAACUUCGUGCCAGCCGCCGC
rnacentral:rRNA from 1 species